UCCAAUUGAAUCAAGGAUUUAACUCAGCCUUGAAGAGUUUAAUUGAAAAUAAAACUCUAGUAGGCUGGAGCUAAUUUUAUGCGACGGGUUCAGCUAGGAUCAAAGGGGAUAAGAUCAAACAUUGUUUUGAAUUUUUGAGGUUAUUGUUAUUCCAUAAAUAGAGGUGACCAAGUAGCUGAAUGGGGGUGAAGAAAAAAAAACAAAAAAAAAACAGAGAAGAACAAGGAGAUAAGCGUGAACUCGAGCAAGCAAAACCGCUAAUUGAUUCAGUAAAAGUCGACCAAGCAGUGGAGUAGUUGCCCAAAAUUGCAGCUAAUUGAGAGAAGGGGAGCUCGACGACUUGGAGAUUUUUUCUUUUCCAAAGUUAAAAUUGUAAUUCAUGUUGUUUAUAAUUGAUUUUGGUUUUGUUUUAUUUGCUAUGAGUGGCUGAAUUACUUACGCUUAGUUAGACACUUAUGAAACCUAGCACAAGGAAUUUGAAAAUUUGUUUUGUUUUAAUUUCGAAUUUGGCAUUCUUGAG
rnacentral:lncRNA from 1 species